rnacentral:rRNA from 1 species
UGCUCUCUGAUUCAGCGGCGGACGGGUGAGUAAUGCCUAGGAAUCUGCCUGAUAGUGGGGGACAACGUUUCGAAAGGAACGCUAAUACCGCAUACGUCCUACGGGAGAAAGCAGGGGACCUUCGGGCCUUGCGCUAUCAGAUGAGCCUAGGUCGGAUUAGCUAGUUGGUGAGGUAACGGCUCACCAAGGCGACGAUCCGUAACUGGUCUGAGAGGAUGAUCAGUCACACUGGAACUGAGACACGGUCCAGACUCCUACGGGAGGCAGCAGUGGGGAAUAUUGGACAAUGGGCGAAAGCCUGAUCCAGCCAUGCCGCGUGUGUGAAGAAGGUCUUCGGAUUGUAAAGCACUUUAAGUUGGGAGGAAGGGCAUUAACCUAAUACGUUAGUGUUUUGACGUUACCGACAGAAUAAGCACCGGCUAACUUCGUGCCAGCAGCCGCGGUAAUACGAAGGGUGCAAGCGUUAAUCGGAAUUACUGGGCGUAAAGCGCGCGUAGGUGGUUUGUUAAGUUGAAUGUGAAAGCCCCGGGCUCAACCUGGGAACUGCAUCCAAAACUGGCAAGCUAGAGUAUGGCAGAGGGUGGUGGAAUUUCCUGUGUAGCGGUGAAAUGCGUAGAUAUAGGAAGGAACACCAGUGGCGAAGGCGACCACCUGGGCUAAUACUGACACUGAGGUGCGAAAGCGUGGGGAGCAAACAGGAUUAGAUACCCUGGUAGUCCACGCCGUAAACGAUGUCGACUAGCCGUUGGGAUCCUUGAGAUCUUAGUGGCGCAGCUAACGCAUUAAGUCGACCGCCUGGG